GAACGCUGGCGGCGUGCCUAAUACAUGCAAGUCGAGCGAACAGACGAGGAGCUUGCUCCUCUGACGUUAGCAGCGGACGGGUGAGUAACACGUGGAUAACCUACCUAUAAGACUGGGAUAACUUCGGGAAACCGGAGCUAAUACCGGAUAAUAUAUUGAACCGCAUGGUUCAAUAGUGAAAGACGGUUUUGCUGUCACUUAUAGAUGGAUCCGCGCCGCAUUAGCUAGUUGGUAAGGUAACGGCUUACCAAGGCAACGAUGCGUAGCCGACCUGAGAGGGUGAUCGGCCACACUGGAACUGAGACACGGUCCAGACUCCUACGGGAGGCAGCAGUAGGGAAUCUUCCGCAAUGGGCGAAAGCCUGACGGAGCAACGCCGCGUGAGUGAUGAAGGUCUUCGGAUCGUAAAACUCUGUUAUUAGGGAAGAACAAAUGUGUAAGUAACUAUGCACGUCUUGACGGUACCUAAUCAGAAAGCCACGGCUAACUACGUG
rnacentral:rRNA from 1 species